GCCAGCAAUCAGUUCACACGGAAAGAAACAGAUUGUCAUCGUGGGCGAUGUCCAUCUGAGGCUUUGUUGUCACACGUCAUCCAGAAUAAUAAUAAACAACGAUGUCUUUCGUCAUCCAACUGCCAUGACGACGUGUCUGAUAACUCAGACUAUAAGUGCUCCUGGGAAAGAGGAACGCUGUGUUCACCGUCAGCGUGACGCUCGGCAGCUUGUGGAGGUCAAAAAGCCCGAAAGACGAUUCAGAAAGCAGCUCCGACAUCAUGAGACGAAACCGACCGGCGGCGUGUCGAGCGGCGGGCUGACGUCUUCGUUGGCGUGCGACCUUGGCCGAGGUCUCGGGACACGCCUUCUUUUUGACUUCAAGUACACAAAAUGGCGUAAAAAAUAAACAUAAUUGAAGCGCU